rnacentral:tRNA from 1 species
GUCUUGAUAGCUUAAUAGUGAAAGCAUUGGACUUUUAAUUCAAAGAUAAUUUUUAUUUCAAGACA